rnacentral:rRNA from 1 species
UCCGGAGGGUGCAAUCGUUAUCCGGAUUUACUGGGUUUAAAGGGUGCGUAGGCGGGCAUGUAAGUCAGUGGUGAAAUACCGGAGCUUAACUUCGGAACUGCCAUUGAUACUAUAUGUCUUGAAUAUUGUGGAGGUAAGCGGAAUAUGUCAUGUAGCGGUGAAAUGCAUAGAUAUGACAUAGAACACCGAUUGCGGAGGCAGCUUGCUACACAAAUAUUGACGCUGAGGCACGAAAGCGUGGGGAUAAAACAGG